GCUUACGGCCAUACCACCCUGAGCACGCCCGAUCUCGUCCGAUCUCGGAAGCUAAGCAGGGUCGGGCCUGGUUAGUACUUGGAUGGGAGACCGCCUGGGAAUACCAGGUGCUGUAAGCU
ensembl:rRNA 5S_rRNA 5S ribosomal RNA